GGGUGCUUGCACCUGGUGGCGAGUGGCGAACGGGUGAGUAAUGCGUCGGAACGUACCGAGUAAUGGGGGAUAACGCAGCGAAAGUUGUGCUAAUACCGCAUACGCCCUGAGGGGGAAAGUGGGGGACCGCAAGGCCUCACGUUAUUCGAGCGGCCGACGUCUGAUUAGCUAGUUGGUGGGGUAAAGGCCUACCAAGGCGACGAUCAGUAGCGGGUCUGAGAGGAUGAUCCGCCACACUGGGACUGAGACACGGCCCAGACUCCUACGGGAGGCAGCAGUGGGGAAUUUUGGACAAUGGGGGCAACCCUGAUCCAGCCAUUCCGCGUGAGUGAAGAAGGCCUUCGGGUUGUAAAGCUCUUUCAGCUGGAACGAAACGGUACGCGCUAACAUCGUGUGCUAAUGACGGUACCGGCAGAAGAAGCACCGGCUAACUACGUGCCAGCAGCCGCGGUAAUACGUAGGGUGCGAGCGUUAAUCGGAAUUACUGGGCGUAAAGCGUGCGCAGGCGGAUUGUUAAGCAAGACGUGAAAUCCCCGGGCUUAACCUGGGAAUGGCGUUUUGAACUGGCAGUCUAGAGUGCGUCAGAGGGGGGUGGAAUUCCACGUGUAGCAGUGAAAUGCGUAGAGAUGUGGAGGAACACCGAUGGCGAAGGCAGCCCCCUGGGAUGACACUGACGCUCAUGUACGAAAGCGUGGGUAGCAAACAGGAUUAGAUACCCUGGUAGUCCACGCCCUAAACGAUGUCAACUGGUUGUUGGGGGAGUGAAAUCCCUUAGU
rnacentral:rRNA from 1 species